rnacentral:lncRNA from 1 species
CCCCUCACCAUGCUGACGUCUUCCAUUGUGCAGCCACAUAAUCCUUUGUGCAGCGCCUCGUUCUCAUUCAGUUACUCUCAGAACAAGGCGCCAUGCAAAGGAUUAUGUCACCGGAAGUAGUACUGUAUGUGAGCGCCACUGCGCUUUGCAGCACCACUACAUAGAGUGCUCCUCUCACUGACCACCAAUGAAAGAGGUGCCCCUUCCGAAAGUGCAGUGGGGGCUGGAUAAAUGGCCUCAGGGGACUGCAUGUAGCCUAUGGGCUGUAGUUUGGGGACUGCAACAGCAAAGAUAACAGUGCUUAGCCUAGGACUUGUGGAAGCCUUUGCUCUUUGGCUCCCUUGAAACCUGGCCUCUGAGAUCUGUAACCUCCAGACAGAAGAUAGGAGAAGUCUAGGUUCUUGCUUCCAGCUCUGUGAAGGACUCCACCUUUACUUAUUAUUACAAUCUCCAAAUUCCUGUUGGUGCCUAAGGAGUGUCUGGGGACGAAGGCAUUUAAGCAUCUGUACCCUGUGUCAAGUUCACUGUCUCCACCAGGUGGAUAAUUUGGCAAAUUGUCUCAAGUGA